UUCUUUUAAUGCAGAGGAAGGUUCGGAGC
rnacentral:piRNA from 1 species